rnacentral:tmRNA from 1 species
GGGGCCGCCUGGUUUUGACAGCGAGAUUAAUUAAACGGUAAGCACGUCGUGUAAUGAUUUUGAAACACGUAAAAGGCUAAGUCAACUUUUUUAAACGGCGAGAAUAACUACGCUUUAGCUGCCUAAUCCGAAUUAUAGUAGGAUUAAGCCUCGGUACACUAGGUGUACGAGCUUUAUGUCUCCGGAAAGCCUUGAUUGACGGCGUUCCACUUGAGAUAUCGUAAAAGUCAACAUAGAUUAGGUGCUGCUUUGACGCCUAAUCGAAACUAAAGAAGAUAAGUUGUAAGUGGGUUGUCUUUAACCAGCUUGCAAACGAAAACCUAAGAAAA